AGUGAACGCUGGCGGUAGGCCUAACACAUGCAAGUCGAACGGCAGCACAGUAAGAGCUUGCUCUUACGGGUGGCGAGUGGCGGACGGGUGAGGAAUACAUCGGAAUCUACUUUUUCGUGGGGGAUAACGUAGGGAAACUUACGCAAAUACCGCAUACGACCUACGGGUGAAAGCAGGGGAUCUUCGGACCUUGCGCGAUUGAAUGAGCCGAUGUCGGAUUAGCUAGUUGGCGGGGUAAAGGCCCACCAAGGCGACGAUCCGUAGCUGGUCUGAGAGGAUGAUCAGCCACACUGGAACUGAGACACGGUCCAGACUCCUACGGGGGGCAGCAGUGGGGAAUAUUGGACAAUGGGCGCAAGCCUGAUCCAGCCAUACCGCGUGGGUGAAGAAGGCCUUCGGGUUGUAAAGCCCUUUUGUUGGGAAAGAAAAGCAGCAGGUUAAUACCCCGCUGUUCUGACGGUACCCAAAGAAUAAGCACCGGCUAACUUCGUG
rnacentral:rRNA from 1 species